rnacentral:rRNA from 1 species
UACGUAGGGGCCGAGCGUUGUCCGGAAUUACUGGGCGUAAAGCGCGCGUAGGCGGCUUUGCAAGUUAGAGGUGAAAGCCCGGAGCUCAACUCCGGAACUGCCUUUAAAACUGCAUCGCUUGAAUCCAGGAGAGGUGAGUGGAAUUCCGAGUGUAGAGGUGAAAUUCGUAGAUAUUCGCAAGAACACCAGUGGCGAAGGCGGCUCACUGGCCCGAUACUGACGCUGAGGCACGAAAGCGUGGGGAGCAAACAGG